rnacentral:tRNA from 1 species
GUGGACGUAGCUGAGUGGUAGAGUGCUUGCCUAGCAUGCUUGAGGCCCUGGGUUCAAUCCCCGGUACCAACA